GGGGGGUGGAAAGCUUUAUUGUGGUUUUGGAUGGACUCGCGGCCUAUCAGCUUGUUGGUGAGGUAAUGGCUCACCAAGGCGACGACGGGUAGCCGGCCUGAGAGGGUGACCGGCCACACUGGGACUGAGACACGGCCCAGACUCCUACGGGAGGCAGCAGUGGGGAAUAUUGCACAAUGGGCGAAAGCCUGAUGCAGCGACGCCGCGUGAGGGAUGACGGCCUUCGGGUUGUAAACCUCUUUCAGUAGGGAAGAAGCGAAAGUGACGGUACCUGCAGAAGAAGCGCCGGCUAACUACGUGCCAGCAGCCGCGGUAAUACGUAGGGCGCAAGCGUUAUCCGGAAUUAUUGGGCGUAAAGAGCUCGUAGGCGGUUUGUCGCGUCUGCCGUGAAAGUCCGGGGCUCAACUCCGGAUCUGCGGUGGGUACGGGCAGACUAGAGUGAUGUAGGGGAGACUGGAAUUCCUGGUGUAGCGGUGAAAUGCGCAGAUAUCAGGAGGAACACCGAUGGCGAAGGCAGGUCUCUGGGCAUUAACUGACGCUGAGGAGCGAAAGCAUGGGGAGCGAACAGGAUUAGAUACCCUGGUAGUCCAUGCCGUAAACGUUGGGCACUAGGUGUGGGGGACAUUCCACGUUUUCCGCGCCGUAGCUAACGCAUUAAGUGCCCCGCCUGGGGAGUACGGCCGCAAGGCUAAAACUCAAAGGAAUUGACGGGGGCCC
rnacentral:rRNA from 1 species